AUUGAACGCUGGCGGCAGGCCUAACACAUGCAAGUCGAACGAGUGGCGGACGGGUGAGUAAUGUCUGGGAAACUGCCUGAUGGAGGGGGAUAACUACUGGAAACGGUAGCUAAUACCGCAUACCAUCGGAUGUGCCCAGAUGGGAUUAGCUAGUAGGUGGGGUAAAGGUGCACCUAGGCGACGAUCCCUAGCUGGUCUAAGAGGAUGACAAGCCACAAUGGAACGGAGACACGGUCCAGACUCCUACGUGAGGCAGCAGUGGGGAAGAUUGCACAAUGGGAGCAAGCCUGGUGUAGCCAUGCCGCGUGUAUGAAGAAGGCCUUCGGGUUGUAAAGGACUUUCAGCGGGGAGGCGUUACCCGCAGAAGAAGCACCGGCUAACUCCGUGCCAGCAGCCGCGGUAAUAC
rnacentral:rRNA from 1 species